ACUCAAAUGAAUAGACGGGGACCCGCACAAGCGGUGGAUGAUGUGGAUUAAUUCGAUGCAACGCGAAAAACCUUACCUACCCUUGACAUGGUUCGAAUCUACAAGAGAUUGUGGAGUGCUCGCAAGAGAACGGACACACAGGUGCUGCAUGGCUGUCGUCAGCUCGUGUCGUGAGAUGUUGGGUUAAGUCCCGCAACGAGCGCAACCCUUGUCGGUAAUUGCCAUCAUUUAGUUGGGCACUUUACUGAGACUGCCGGUGACAAACCGGAGGAAGGUGGGGAUGACGUCAAGUCCUCAUGGCCCUUAUGGGUAGGGCUUCACACGUCAUACAAUGGUGCAUACAGCGGGAAGCGAAACUGCGAAGUGGAGCCAAUCUCAAAAAGUGCAUCGUAGUCCGGAUUGGAGUCUGCAACUCGACUCCAUGAAGUUGGAAUCGCUAGUAAUCGCGGAUCAGCAUGUCGCGGUGAAUACGUUCCCGGGUCUUGCACACACCGCCCGU
rnacentral:rRNA from 1 species